CCCCCGGGCCGCGCUCCGGCGGGCCCGGCGCCUUGCCCUGGCUGUUGUUCGCCCCCGCCGGAGCCGCCGCCACUUGCGCGGCCAUGAUCACCGCCACAUCGCGAGGCCGGAGGGACGGGCGCUGGGACCGAAAGGACCGAAAAUCGGGCAAAAAAGCCAGACGGCGUUCGGCCCCCGCGCUCGGCGAGGGGGAGAGCCGGGGGGGAGGGGGGGAGAGGAGCGGGGCGAGAGGGCUCGGCCGGGCCGGGGUGUCCCUGCGGGCCGCUCCGCUCCGCAGAAAUCCCCUCCUCGAGUCCGUGGCCGAGAAAUGAUAAUGGGAGCUGAUCAAGAAGAGAGAGGCACAGAGUCUCGUAAUUGUUUCCCCAAACAAUGUAAUUUCCAGUACGCACAGGACACUCAUGAAAACACAGCGAUACCAGAACAAAAACUGAAAUAUGUCAUCCAAAUGGCACAUGGAAAGCCAUUGCUGAUGACCUACAUUUUUAAACCAUCCUCCAGAAUGGUUUGGAGGAUUUUUUUAUGACUGUUCUGAUACAAAUGGUACCCCGGCAUAAGAAAAAGUAAACAUUACACACUACAUUAAAGCGAUAAAAGCAUCUGGAGGUCAGAUACUCUGCUAAGGAAGCAGCUAGCAAACUGAGAUGUUAGCAAACAUUUUCAGUGUAGUAAGGGCCUAGAUACACUGUUUUAAAUGAAUAUUUCUAUGCACGCUGUUAGUGAUGGCCACAUUUUCAAAUUUCAGAAUAGCUAAGUAGGAAGCUCGAUGAUACUGGUAGAGAGAAAUGCAGCAUGUCAUGGAAGAUGCUGUCACGAGCGGGUGGACUGCAGGUGGACUUUAUCGUUCCCAUUGUGAAAGCAUUAAAGAACAGAAGCGUCGUGCCCUGACAUUGAGUUACAUGCCGUGAGUAUUGAUCCAGUAUGAACAGUGCAGUUCCAGUCUCUUACUAAUUUCAGUUCUGUCUGAAAAGUCAGAAGUACUCCGAAAUACUCCAUUACGGAGCCGCGUUUGAAAAGUCUCAGUGUUCAUCAAGCACAUCGCGCUCACACUUCUCUUAGAACCAUUCUUUUUUUGCUUUCUUUUGGUACUGUUUGAAGUGCCGGGAUGUUAUACGGCUACUAGAAAAAAAGAAUGGUGAAAAAAUGGUGAGUGACUCUAGUGGGGGGAAUCAGGUGUGUACCCAGGGGUCAUUACGGCCGGUAAUGACAACAAAUUGCAGCUCCAUGCAAACUGCUCGAAAGGGGUAUAUCAUCUUUGUAGGAGAGAGAACAACAGAACUGUACGAUGAAUUCAUGCCAAAUCAUUCAUCAGCUUUUGCCAAGAGAAUACUACAUCUUUGUUAGUGAGCCUUUUUGACAUUUUCUCCUGGAUUUUCUUCUUUUUUACAUUCAAACGCUCGCUAAUUAUACACAUUAAAUCGCAUACAUUGAUUUUUUGUAGCUUUUCAUAUGCAAAUACAAAUAUAGAUGUCUACUUGUGUGUAUUUAUUUACGUGUGCUCUAAGAUAAAAUAUAAAAUUGACUACACAUUUAUACACGUUUUAUCUGAGCAAAAAUAUAUACAUUUAAACCCAAUAGCAUCCACCGAUAACACCUCGACAGCAGCUCAGAACUUCCCAACGUGCUCCACAACUCACGAUCAGGAAAAUAACCCACAAAGUUUAACAGAGAUUUACUUUGAAAUGUUGACUCUUUAACGAAAAGCUGACUUUUCAAACCAAGGAGUUGGUACCACUCCUGUUCCUUCCAUGUGUUUCAGCAAGUCGGCUGCAGGAUUGGAACGAAGAGCCUCUGAAAUAGAGGCCCCCAGCACAAUGCAAUCAGGCUGCUAUAAAAGGCAACACAUGCCAGUUUUCCUCCCCAAUGGCAGAUGCCACACCCUCAAGCAGACAGAAGGCACUGCAGUCUGUGCACGGGAAGCACAACACAAAGCAGCGAUGGUUCGGUUUUGUAGAUCACAAAUAAUGUUGAAAUUCCUUUUGCCAUCUUUGCUCAGAUGAUGAGUGGUAGUGUUUGUUAAAUUCACAUCCUCCUUUCCAAAAGCUCUCGUUGUAUGCAUGAAUUAUGAAUUUAUUAUAAUAUAAUGUAAGAAAGCUCUAAUUGCCAUGCAUAUUAUCUGCUGCAAAAUGAUUGCGUUGAUAUUUGAUACCACAAACGUGCAGUUUCAACUUUCGUUCCAUUUUCAUUGUUUCUUCACUGUAAUUAUUUUCCAUACACCAACGUUGUCCAGGCAUGGAUUCUUUUCUCAGUUUCUUCCCUGAUGAAUGACAAACUCCCGUGCCCUGGGAUCCUUUUCCAGGAUAAACAGUAACAUUUUCUGAACGUGUUGUUGGCCAUUGGUGUGCGACAUUGGCUGUGAUGCCUGCACAGGCCCCUGAGCCCUGGUGAAAGUUAGCACUGUGUCCCUGUUGGGUCAUUGCAGUAGCUUUUAAGUCAUACAUUGUGACAGCAAAGAGAGAUACGGAAUGCAAACCGAUGGGUUAAGAGCUCCAAGGCGUUAUUUUGGAGAUGCUGAAAGAAACGGCAUUGUUGGGCUGCUUAAUUUGUAUUUAUGUGUUGUACAUAUAUAUGCGCGUUAUGUGAGAACACAGUCAGAGGUUUAGGAGCCCAUUGCAUCUGACCUGGGUAUCUACAAGAGCCUUAAAAAUCCCUUCAUCCCUUUUUGUUUGGUUCUUGUUUUGCUUUCUGUUUAAAUCCACUGUGCGGUUAGAUGAAACAGUUGUCAAAUUCUCCGUAAUUCUCAAUUUCCUCCUUUAGACUGGCAUUAGAGUUAAUGAGCAAAAAAGAGAGAAGUAUGUGGGCUUUUAUUAAAUUAUUGCUUCUUUUACUAGUUAAACACCCAAUCCAAAUCGUUCCGAAGUCAGUGCAAAUCUUUUAAUUGAUUUCAAUAAGGCAUAAAUCAGAUCACAGAAAAGUAAGCAGCCAGCUCUGAGCUCUAACUUUAUUCUUUAGCUCGGUAUUUGGAGCCCCAGUAAUGGGAUUUUCCCUUUAAGAGAACCUUUAUGUGGUCGACACACACAUAAAUAUAACAUAGCAGUAUUUUCUUUAUUAUGUAAUAUUUACAUUUCAGUCGCAAAUGGAGUAUGUAAACUAUUGCAGUUGAUACCCAGCUGAUAAGCAAGAAUCUGUUAGGUGUAAAGGCUGCUUGUGAGUGUAAUCAUUUUAUUUCAGCUGGUCAUAAUGAACUUGGAAAAAACACAGUUUAUGCCAACAGAUUGUGGCCUAAAACAUGUACAGAGUGACACAUUCUACCAUUUAAUUAAAAUCCAUUCUUUAGCAGCCACUAAUCCCAGGCAAUUUAAUCAUUUUUUUUUUCUGUCAAUGUGUAAACAAAAGGACUUCAAAACAUCACCAUCUCCAUCUCAAGAAUGUCACACGUGAUUAUAUUAUGGAAAUGCAACAUUAGCCAUUUUUCACCUUGCAGGAUUGAACAGAUGCGGUUCUACAAAUGCACAUCAUCCAUUGAAGUCAAUAAGAUCACUCACUUCCUUAAAGUUAAGCCCAGAUUAAGUGCUUCUGCAGACCGAGGCCUCUAGGAACAACAGCUCCGGAGUCUGCACUUUGGUGAGAUAGCAGCCCACGCGCUUUUCUAAAUCAAAACAAAAUCUUCUACUUUGCACUGAGAGGAGGUGGUCUUGAUUUCUGCCUUUACCCACCGCUGAAAUUUGAGCCUUUAAACUGAAUUUCAUCAACAUUUCUGGAUCUUUUGUCAUUGUCUGAGAAUAGCAUUGAAUUCUGGAGAAACCUAGGAAAAGGGCAGCCUUCCUUUAAAUGAGAAAUUGACGGUCCUGUUCACAUUUAAAGAGGAAAUCUUAAGCAAGAUUCAGUGCAAUGGUAAUCACAGAGUUCUCUGGUAAUGUUUGUUUGUUUGUUUGUUUGUUUGUUUUUCCCUAAUAUUUCUGUCUUUUACAAAUCUUUUCUUUGCUGAUGUGCAAGAGACAGAACUAACCCAUUGGGAAAGCAGAAGAAAUAUUUGCCAUUAGCUGCACAUUGGUCAGAGAUCCUUUCUUUUGUGAGCUGUAGUGGGCUGGCCUGGCUGAUGCAUAGAAGAAACAGUCAGGCUCUUAACACACAGUUUUCAGACUCAUAAAAUAAACAAGAUUAGUAACUUAGCUCUAAAUAAGUGGCAUCUUUCGGGACUAAGGAAAUAGUCUUUUCCUAACCUUUUUCAGGAGCGCUUUUUAUAUGGCACAAUGCAAGCAUUACCUAUAGUCUAUACUAUUUAUCAACAGCUGUUUCUAGGACCAAAUGACAGUGGCUUCUAUGUCUUCACCAAGAAAAAUAUUUUUUUGUAGAAUAUUUGUAUGUACCGUUGGAAAAGUGUGGAUUUCAGUAGGAGAUAGCACUUUCUUUUCCUUUGCAAACUGAAUUUUCUUUCCUAUGUUCCAUAGCUGAUAUGCAAUUCUGAGGAGGAAGAGAGUAAAAAUUAUUUUGUUUCCUGAUGUACUCUAUUUCUGACCCAUUUCUGUAGUAGUUGACCAUUCACAAUCUCUAGUCCAACAGCUCUAAGUCCUUUAGAUGGAGCCCCAACUUCCCCUUUUGCAAUGGUUAUUAAUUCCCUCCUUCCCAAACC
ensembl:lncRNA